rnacentral:lncRNA from 1 species
CAGGGGCCCAAAAUAAAUUCAGCGUUAAGCCCCCGAAAGCCUAGAACCGGACCUACAUACACCUCUCAGGUGUGUGGCAUGGUGUUGCGGAAUUUUUCUCUCCAGCCAAAGCUAUUUUUUCAAGACCUGCUUUGAAUGCAUUGGCUAUCCAUCUCAAAUAAGUAUAUGCAGCCUAACACAUAGCCUAUACUCGUUUAUGUAUAAUGCGUAACGGGUUAAUUUACUAUUACGGACAUCGCGAACUAAACAGCAUUCUCUUUCAUUGUGAUUAUGUAGGCUAUCGGACAGCGGUUUUUGUUUAGGACUAUCGCGCUCUGGAGAUGACUUCUUUUUGGUGGAUUACUCGUUGAAAGAGCCGAUCUUUUCGAGCGCAACCAAACUGGUGAAUUGUUCAACAUCUUUCCGCUCCAGGAAACUGGAACUCAUGGCUUCGUCUCAUAAACUGGGUCAUCGGAGGGAUAUCAAUGCCUGGCCAAGAAUGUCUUCAACUUUUUGUGCUGCGGUGCUACUGACCAGCCUACUGAUAAUUUACUGUGAUGAUUACCUUCAUCCACAAACUUUGCUCAAAGUUUGUAAAGCCUGCAGCUCUUCGGAACCUGGAGCCACAAGAAAUCCACUAUGAGGAAUAGACAAACCAACUGCCAGGUAGGCUAACGGUUGAUGAUAGGUGGAAUUACACAGUGAGUUGGAAUUAUUGGAUUAGUGUCUACAGUGAAUAAUUUUUUUAAUCAAUGUCUUUCGGGCAGGAGCAGAGCUGAAUGUUGGUUAAACAACAAGAUCCAAGAUUAACAGGCUUCUUGAGGCUGGAGACAUCCAAACUACCCUUCACAUAAUUUUAGGAAAUCUCACUCCAAGCUAUCUUCAGGAGUUGGCAGGCCUGAAUCAACCAAUCUGGAGGUUUCCUACUACCCUUACUAAGCAUAUCAGUGCUGUUCAUAACUAGAUUAAUUGGAUCAAGACAGGGUAAAUUAUAUAAAUCAUGGCCAGAAAUUGUUUUUGGUACUGCAGCACCGGUAGAAAAAAUGAAGAGAAUCCAAAACAUCACUUGUGACAACAAUCUGUUAAAAAUGAUUUGGACUUAAAGAGAACAAGAGAAGCUGGGGCAAGACACUGAUACUGGCCAAUCAUCACUAUAUACGUGUGUUUGUGUGUCUAUGUUCAUAAUAUGUAUAAGGAAAAUGUGUGAUUUACCAAACAAUUCUACAAGCAUUGUAGGAGAUGAUAAAUACCAAUUGUUCUUAGCCUCAGUGUCCCCUUGACAGUCUGUUGAGCCUCAGUGUUUGAAAACUUAGUUUUGCUGAAUGGCAUGUUUUAUCUGCUGAGCCAAUCUGUACUUUCUGCAAAAAUGGCCCAUCUGUAUCUGAAAACUCGGGAAAAUGAAUCAUGUGCCAAAUAUUUCAUCUGAGAAACCAAAGCAAUCUUAUAUUACAUUUCUCAUCUUCUGAGUCUACAGUAAUAUAUCAACAAUUGUUUUACACAUGGAAAUCUCAAUAGAUUUUUCAUGACAAAUGCACUGAAGGUAAAAUUAUUUGACAUACAUAUGUUAGCCUGUUAAGAAACAUUGCAAAGAAAAAACAAUCAAACUGAAGCCUAACUGAAUUAUUCUCACAAUUACAUGAACUUUUAAAAUAAUAUUCUGUAGCUCUCAAACGUAUUGGACUUCUCCACAUUUUCCAAUUGCUACAUGAAAUGAAAAUGGAUUUAAUCAGAAGAUUUUGCCAUCAAAAUAUUAACAAACUUAACAGAAUACAUCUGCAAAUUGUUUGAAAUGCAUUGCUUAUAUUAAACAGAAAAUAGCCGAUUUAGUAAGUAUUACUUGCCUUUACUAUGUCACCCCUGAACAAGCUGCUAUAUUUAGCACAACCGUAACACCCCACACACACCAUAGCUGCAGUUUUCACACUAAAUCGGGCUACUUUUCAAACAAUGUUGCGAUUUUUUGGCAUACUUCUGAACUUCACAGCAGCAGCACCUUUUCUGUCUUUAUAUUGCUAUAUUUAGUGUUUCUAUGCUGUUAUCACAUCAGACGUCAGCUACGGUAGGAUCCGCGGUUUCACCUGCGUAUAUACUGCAUCUUAUGUUGUGUUACGGGGGAUUUGGUUCACUUGUAAAAUAGUCUAUAUUGUGCACCAACAAAAGUUGGGCUAGUUUUCAGUCAUUUUGGGAUGGAUUUGAGCAGUCGUUGGGCCAGAAAUGUUUGCUUAACCCGGUUAAUACUGUCCUGAAAACCCCUAAUGCAGCGAGAUGCUUCUCUGGAAUGCUUAUCAGCAUGUAGUAGAUCAAAUGUUUAAAAAAAUAUACAUACAAGCUUAUUAUUGUAAUGUUUGACUACUUUAUAUUCAGUGUUACAAUAUUUUUAUUUUAUUUUUCCAACAGACUUU